rnacentral:lncRNA from 1 species
CUCCUUUUGUGGCACUUAGCACGUCUGCCUGCAAUUUUAUCUACCUUCCUCCUAGACUAUAGGCUAUUCCAGAAGCUCAUUUAUCUUUGAGCUCUAACACUGAGCACAGGGUUUUGGUCUUAAGACACACUAACUUUCCAGUCGCUCCCAAGCAACUUUCAUGCCCAAAUGGCCUUUCCCCACUUGCAUAAAAGAAAAUGUUCUUUGAAAAGUAGGGCAGGAGCAGCCACGAUGCUAGAUGGCCCUGCUGGCUUUGGACCCAAUGGACCAUCCAGGCCAGUACUGCAUCUCUGUGAGACCACAGAAAGUUUUCUAAUAAUGCAUACACAAUCAGCUGUGCCCAGUAAUAAGGUCAGGCUCUUCAUUUUGGAACUGCUGAUAAGUGUUUGGAAAUGAGAAGACUAGCCCUAAAGAGGCCCUAUUCCUAAGCCUUGUUCAUAACAAGCAGGCUCUAGCCAAACUUACUAUUGUGUGUGUUGUUGGCAGGGAAUAAGUAGGGAGGGUGGGUUUAUAAGAAGGAUGGGGACUUUCCAAACAAUGUAGCUGUCUAAUCACAUCAAUUUCUGUGCUUAUAUCAGAAGAUGUUAAGGCAGGUGCCAGGGGUCCAUGUGGGAGGUAGUGGAGGGCUGAACUGUGAAUGAGGGAGGAUGUCUAUGGGGACAUGGGGUCUAUUCCUCCUAUUAUAUCGUCUGAGCAUGAAUGAAAGGUAAAAUGUGCAGGUACUAUAGAGAUAAGCAAUUAGACCUCGAUUGUUUAAUUAAUUUUUUGGAGAUGGGGGGGGUCUCGCUAUGUUGCACAGGCUGGCCUCGAACUCCUGGGCUCAAGUGAGCCUCCUGCCUCAGCCUCUUGAGUAACUGGGACUACGGAUGCCUGCCACCAUGCCCGACUCAAAUUUAUUUUGUGUUUUGAGGGGCUCUCCAAGGCAGUGGUAAGGAACAGAGAGAUGAUAAAGAUGACUGAGAUUCUGAACAAGAAUGACUCAGAGAAUGAUUCUGCUGAUAACAGAAAUGGGUGAGUCAGGAUAAGUAGAUUUUGGAGGGAAAGAUGCUAGGUAGGUCCUUGGGCAUAUCUGAGGAGCAGUGUGACAUGCAGGUGAAUAUACGCAGCAGUCUUUUGGAAAUUCACCAUUAAGCUGGAUGUCUGAGACUUGUCUGCAGGGAAAUAAUAUUUGGAAUUCAAGAUACGGACCAGGGUGCCAAGGCAAAGGCAGUUUGAUUUGAUUCAGAGGCAUACUGAUCUGGAUAGUAAAUAUCAGAAUGUGGUUUUACUGCACUAAAAAAACAAAACCUGGAUAGAAUUUCAUGUUAUAAUUCCAGAUACCAUCAUCCUUGUUGCUCCUCUGUCAAUAUUAUUCUAAAGCUUAAGAGUCAUCUCCUUGGUGUACUGUACAGUCUUGUGUAUCUAUAUUGAGAGAAACUGGGCAAAAUUCAGAUAUUUUGGAAGAUAAAAGAUAUUUAGAGCCGGGCGCGGUGACUCAUGUCUGUAAUCCCAGCACUUUGGGAGGCUGAGGCAGGUGGAUCACCUGAGGUCGAGAGUUCAAGACCAGCUUGACCAACAUGGAGAAACCCUGUCUCUACUAAAAAUACAAAAUUAGCUGGGUGUGGUGGCGCAUGCCUGUAAUCCCAGUUACUUGGGACACUGAGGCAGAAGAAUCACUCAAACCUGGGAGGUAGAGGUUGCGGUGAGCCUAGAUUGCGCCAUUGCACUCCAGCCUGGGCAACAAGAGCAAAACUCCGUCUCAAAAAGAAAAAAAAAAAAAGAUAUUUAGAAGAUGUAUGGAACAAUGGCCCCCUCCUCCAAAUGGUUCAAAUCAGAGCCUUGCUUAUAUGAAGACUGUAGGUUUUACAGGAUUUAAUACUUUUCUUUGCUUUUUUUUUUU